rnacentral:lncRNA from 1 species
AUGUUGCUCUCCCCUCAGGGAUCUGAGCUGCUUUGGGAUCCUGCUCUUCUGCCAGCCACACAAUACACUGCAGACCUCCUUCUUCACCACCGAAUGCUCUGUGAUUCCCAGCCACACACCUGCCCUUCAAAAAUCCUGAGGACUAUCCUCUCCCCAAUAUGCAGAAUUUAUGUGACUUUAUUAAACCAGUCUAUGUUCAGAAGAUUAAAAAAAGGCCUUUCCUGAUUAUGAUGGCAGCUUUUCUCCAUCAGUCAUACUGUAUCCUUUUGGUCUGACUUAUUUUCAUGCUCUAUGACUACUUAAUUCUCUGACAUUUAUGGGUUCCUGUGUCUACCACAAGUUUUUCUUAUCUGUUUGGAUUCUUCUAGCUUAACUUUAUGAGAUUCACUUUGGCUUUAUUAUUGGUCAUUUUGUAGCCUGAAAUUCCAGCCUCAUAGUUUCAUGCUUCAUAUCAGGACCAGCUUGACACCCGCAGUGCUCUGAAGGAACAGUAAAACUAUCUGUUAUUUCUUGACAACUACUUUUAUAUCAGGCUUGCAUUAUCAUAAAAUUGUAUAAAAUUUCAAUUAUUAAAGUUACUUUUUAUAACUAUUGUGAUUGGCUAUAUUAAAGCAUAAUUUGGGAAUCUUAAUAUUAACUCCUCAACCCUACUAUUUGUUGGUUAUAUAAGCUCUGGUUAAUUAUUCACAUGGGAAGAGAGACAGUCAAAGUGAAAGUAGAAAGAAAUGAGUUGAAAAAUCUUUAUUACAUAAAGAGACAUAUGUCACAUGUCAUAAAAAAAUUCUUGUGGCUGGUGCUGUGGCUCACUCAGCAGAUUAAGUAAUGUCUGCAUCCCAUAAGGGUACAAGUUCAACUCCCAGUUGCUAUGCUGCCAACCCAGUUUCCUAAUGGCCUGGGAAAGCAGCAAAAUAUGGCCCAAGUCCUUGGGCUCCUGCACCCACAUGGGAGACAUGGAAGAAGCUCCUGGCUCCUGACUUUGGCCUAUCCCAGCCCCAGCCAUUUGAAGUUAUUUUGGGAGUGAACCAGCAGUUGGAUCUCACUCUCUCUCUCUUUCUAACUUCCAAAUAAAUAAGUAAAUCCUUGACA